AGGGAAGUGGUCUACAGUCACUCUCUGGAGAAGGGAGGUUGUGUUUAGGGCUAUAGAGGACCGGCCUUAAGAAACUGUAAGAAUUCAGACAGACAAAGAAGGAGCUGAAGCACAGACAGCUGGCUUAAGCAAUUCACUGCAAGAAAAAUCGUUGGAGUUACUUGGACCAAUGGAUCACCAAUAACAAGAAAUGGCCUACAGUUUAAGCAAUGUAUGAUGGCUGUUCGCAGGCUUCACUGCCUGGGACAUGUGGAGC